rnacentral:rRNA from 1 species
AGGAUCAUUACUGAACUGUCGACACGAGUUGUUGCUGGUCCUCAAAUGGGGGCAUGUGCACACUCUGUUUACAUACCCACUCACACCUGUGCACCCUCUGUAGCUCUGUGGUGUGGGGGGCUCUGUCCUCCCACUGCAGUUCUACGUUUUUACAUACACACACACGCAGUGAUAAAGUCUCAUGGAAUGUACAUCGCGUUUAACGCAAUACAAUACAACUUUCAGCAACGGAUCUCUUGGCUCUCGCAUCGAUGAAGAACGCAGCGAAAUGCGAUAAGUAAUGUGAAUUGCAGAAUUCAGUGAAUCAUCGAAUCUUUGAACGCACCUUGCGCCCUUUGGCUAUUCCGAAGGGCAUGCCUGUUUGAGUAUCAUGAACACCUCAACUCUCAUGGCUUGCCAUGAUGAGCUUGGACUUUGGGGGUCUUGCUGGCCUAUGGUUGGCUCCUCUCAAAUGAAUCAGCUUUCCAGUGUUUGGUGGGAUCACAGGUGUGAUAAUUAUCUACGCUUGUGGCUUUUCCAUCAGGUAACCUUCAGUGAUGGAGGUUCGCUGGGGCUCACAAAUGUCUCUCCUCAGUGAGGACAGCUUUUUUGAACGUUUGAUCUCAAAUCAGGUAGGACUACCCGCUGAACUUAAGCAUAUCAAUAAGCGGAGGAAAAGAAACUAACAAGGAUUCCCCUAGUAACUGCGAGUGAAGCGGGAAGAGCUCAAAUUUAAAAUCUGGCGUGCCUCUGGUCGUCCGAGUUGUAGUCUGGAGAAGCGUUUUCCGUGUUGGACCGUGUACAAGUCUCUUGGAACAGGG